rnacentral:rRNA from 1 species
CCUACGGGAGACAGCAGUGAGGAAUAUUGGUCAAUGGCCGGAAGGCUGAACCAGCCAUGCCGCGUGAAGGUCAGUGCCCUAUGGGCGUUAAACUUCUUUUGUGCGGGAGCAAUAAUGGUCACGUGUGGCCAGACGAGAGUACCGUACGAAUAAGCAUCGGCUAACUCCGUGCCAGCAGCCGCGGGAAUACGGGGGAUGCAAGCGUUAUCCGGAGUUAUUGGGUUUAAAGGGUGCGUAGGCUGUGAGGUAAGUCAGCGGUGAAAUGCCCCCGCUCAACGGGGUGAAGUGCCAUUGAUACUGCCUGGCUGGAAUGCGGAUGCCGUGGGAGGAAUGUGUGGUGUAGCGGUGAAAUGCAUAGAUAUCACACAGAACACCGAUUGCGAAGGCAUCUCACGAAUCCGCGAUUGACGCUGAUGCACGAAAGCGUGGGUAUCAAACAGGAUUAGAUACCCGUGUAGUC